UACGGUUACCUUGUUACGACUUCACCCCAGUCAUGAAUCACAAAGUGGUAAGCGCCCUCCCGAAGGUUAAGCUACCUACUUCUUUUGCAACCCACUCCCAUGGUGUGACGGGCGGUGUGUACAAGGCCCGGGAACGUAUUCACCGCAACAUUCUGAUUUGCGAUUACUAGCGAUUCCAGCUUCACGCAGUCGAGUUGCAGACUGCGAUCCGAACUGAGGUCGGUUUUUUGGGAUUAGCUCCUUCUCGCGAGAUUGCCUCCCUUUGUACCGACCAUUGUAGCACGUGUGUAGCCCUGGAUAUAAAGGCCAUGAUGACUUGACGUCGUCCCCACCUUCCUCCCGUUUAACACGGGCGGUCUCCGUAGAGUGCCACAGCAUAACCCGGGGGCAACUACGGAUAGGGGUUGCGCUCGUUGUGGGACUUAACCCAACACCUCACGGCACGAGCUGACGACAGCCAUGCAGCACCUGUCUUGGCGCUCCCUUGCGGGCACUGGCCUGUUUCCAGACCAUUCGCCAGAUGUCAAACCCAGGUAAGGUUCUUCGCGUAGCAUCGAAUUGAACCACAUGCUCCACCGCUUGUGCGGGCCCCGUCAAUUC
rnacentral:rRNA from 1 species